UAGAUUGAAGCAGAAGAGAAAUAAAGCUAAUGAUGAACCGAGGUCAACCAAUGUAUUACCAAGGAAUUUGACAACUGCAAAGUGUAAGAGAUGUGAGAAUUUUGGGCACAAUUCGAGAACUUGCAAAGGAAAAACAAUAGCGGACCAAAACUUGCCCAAAGGAAGUAACAAGGAAAAGAACAAAAGAAAGGAUCGACACAAGAACCAAACAUGUUGAAACAAGGAUCAAUAACAUUGUAAUGGAUUACAACUUUUAUGUGUGAUGAAUCCUUUUUUUGUAUAAUGAACCUACUGUGUAAUAUGGUAAUGGAUUACAACUUUUAUGUGUAACCUUAAUUUACAUCACUAUUAUUAAUGAAAUAUUAUGUUUGAUUACAACAUUGUGAAAAACUACAAGAUUGUUAUAACAUGUGACAAAAAAGUUACAAGCUCUGAUAUGGAAAUUAUUGUGUUGAAACAUAUACUAAAAAGUUACAAUGAAUUAAAAAAUAUAUGAUGAUCAAACAAAGGUGAAACCAUUGACAACUAAACCUAACUAUAUUAACCUCACAACAUUAACCUCACAACAUUAACCUCAACCUUUUACAACUACACUCAUGCAAAGGCUUUUGUGAUCAACAUGAUGAUCAAAAACCAAGACAGAAUUAACAACAUAAUCAAAAAUUUGAUCUUCUUCUCCAGGUCAUCAUCAAACUUUUUUGUUAAACCAUAUUUCUUUUUCAACUCAUCAAGCUUCUUCAAAAGCCAGUUAAUCACUUCCUGUGAAUGUUCUGGUAUCUUCUCGUCAUACCAAUAAAAAAAUAACACCCUUUCCUUCCUUGUAACUGAGAGAAACAGAAAAUAAAAAAAAGGUGGAGUUUAGGAAUUAUCCAAAAAUGUUUCAAUUGAGAAGACGAAUAAUACUAAAAAUUAGGGAUUUAGACGUACCUUUAAUAAUUCACAACCAUAGAACCUCCGACUUGGAUUCUCAUAUGUACACGCAGUUGCAAGUGGUGAUUCUAACCCACAAUAAC
rnacentral:lncRNA from 1 species